AACGAACGCUGGCGGCAGGCCUAACACAUGCAAGUCGAACGCCGUAGCAAUACGGAGUGGCAGACGGGUGAGUAACGCGUGGGAACAUACCCUCCGGUUCGGAAUAACUCAGGGAAACUUGAGCUAAUACCGGAUACGUCCAAGGUUUUAAUCGGCCUUGGAGAAAGAUUUAUCGCUGGAGGAUUGGCCCGCGUCUGAUUAGCUUGUUGGUGAGGUAAUGGCUCACCAAGGCGACGANCAGUAGCUGGUCUGAGAGGAUGAUCAGCCACAUUGGGACUGAGACACGGCCCAAACUCCUACGGGAGGCAGCAGUGGGGAAUAUUGGACAAUGGGCGAAAGCCUGAUCCAGCCAUGCCGCGUGAGUGAUGAAGGCCUUAGGGUUGUGAAGCUCUUUUACCCGGGAAGAUAAUGACGGUACCGGGAGAAUAAGCCCCGGCUAACUUCGUGCCAGCCGCCGCCGUAAG
rnacentral:rRNA from 1 species